UUUCGUCGGUCGGUGGCCGGUGAUACCUAACCUGUGCUGGUGAAAGCAUAUCGCCCAGUGUUUCAUCCGCCUAUUAGUUCAUCACGAAGAUGAUGCAGGCCCCAUGUGGAGCAAUGAUUUAGGGCUCCAACUGCGGAGUUGCAGCGUCAAGCGUCAGCUUUUGACGGAGGCGGCACCUUCUGCCAUCCUAUGACGAUGACUAUCAAGGUGACGCUUUGCAUAGUGUAAGGACUAACUUAGAUAAUCCAAGCAGUGUACUCUAGAGAUGCACAAUAUAUCCGGUUUCAGACCUGACCCGACCAGGAACCGGUUCCUACGCUACCUGACCCGUGGGUACAUACCGGUUCCAGACCCAGGGCGUAGAAAUAGGAACUGAAUCGGACCCGGUCGGGAACCACCUAUACCCGGUUAAAAUCCAGGCCCGACUCGGUCAAACCGGUCAAAACCAAGUCAAAUACCCGAACGCACCCCGGAACCGUUUCCUACCCUACCCGGUUCUUGAUUUUUAAACCAAACCCGGACCCAGUUCCCGGGUAUUAAAAAAACCCGUUUUGUGCAUCUAAUUGUGUGUACUCCAGGGUAUUAAAAAAACUCUGUUCUCCAAAGCUGCAAUCCAAUCGAGUGUAUUGCGUAACCUUAGUUGGAAUACAAUGCCCUGGUCUACAAAUCACAGAUGCUUGCAAUGACAUGACAUGGUUCCAACACCAGUACACGCAAUCAAGGGAAGAAGAGUGAAAUUACAAAGCCAAACACUAAAAGAUGCACGCUCAGGAGCACAACGAUGCACUGUAAAAUAGCGUCACUGAAGCAGACCCAGAGGCAGGCUCAACGAUAGCAAUUGUCACAACCUUAGCAGCCCCAGCAACACCAAUGGGAGCAAAACAUAUUGUCGCAGCAGCAAAGAGUAUCAUAUUUCCAACGCCAGUCUGAAGGCGGGGAAACCGCAUGUGGUAGUGGUUUGUGCAUCCAAUGGGCAGUGAUUGAGUCCGAUGGUGUUACAGCCAACAAGUCGACGUCAACAGUGCUCAACGACGAAGACGUCGGUCAAGCGGCUAGGGCUCCAAUCAAGUUCCGACAAGUUUCCGGUGUAGCUGCAUACUUGGAUGUUAGCAAAGGGCUAUCACAGGUGGUAGCAAAUAGUAAGGAUGCAAAUAAACCAAGAGCUUGAUGAUACUUAAAGAUGAUGGUUUUUUGUUUGUCAAUUUUGAUACAAUAUAUUAAAAUUUUACAAUUAUUGAAAUAUCUACUUUUUUAGGUGAGAGCCCUUUUAUUCGUGUUGCAAUGCAAGGGCAUUUCUCCACUACUAAAUGCCUCACCGAACGUGUAUUGAAACUGAUGAUGGCACUACUCUUUUGUUGUUAGUUGUAGUUGCAGGCUCGCUCCAAUGCUUGGAGCUGUUACCAAUUCAUCUACUAUUAGAAAGGGUUCUUUGCUAACAAGAAUAUUAUUUAUUACUUAUGAGGACAACACUGUACCUUGAUGGCAAUUAAUCAAUGAAGAACAUGAAUACAACGCGAUUUGUGAAAUUGUCAAUGCAAUCAUGUUAUUUGCAGCCUCAUUCAUUCGGAUUAUUCCCCGAUUGUUAUGAAGUAAUUAAAUUUUAUGAAAAUUUGGUGCAUUGAGUAGCAAUAAGUUUUAUUGUCAUGAUUAAACGUGUCGAAACCUGACAGUAAGCUUUAGGCCGGUCAAUUGUUUGUGUUUUUAGCUCCUGCUUUUUAUUGUUAAUUC
rnacentral:lncRNA from 1 species